rnacentral:rRNA from 1 species
AGAGUUUGAUCCUGGCUCAGGAUGAACGCUGGCGGCGUGCUUAACACAUGCAAGUCGAACGAAGCACUUUAUUUGAUUUCCUUCGGGACUGAUUAUUUUGUGACUGAGUGGCGGACGGGUGAGUAACGCGUGGGUAACCUGCCUUGUACAGGGGGAUAACAGUUGGAAACGGCUGCUAAUACCGCAUAAGCGCACAGUACCGCAUGGUACGGUGUGAAAAACUCCGGUGGUAUGAGAUGGACCCGCGUCUGAUUAGGUAGUUGGUGGGGUAACGGCCUACCAAGCCGACGAUCAGUAGCCGACCUGAGAGGGUGACCGGCCACAUUGGGACUGAGACACGGCCCAAACUCCUACGGGAGGCAGCAGUGGGGAAUAUUGCACAAUGGGGGAAACCCUGAUGCAGCGACGCCGCGUGAGCGAUGAAGUAUUUCGGUAUGUAAAGCUCUAUCAGCAGGGAAGAAAAUGACGGUACCUGACUAAGAAGCCCCGGCUAACUACGUGCCAGCAGCCGCGGUAAUACGUAGGGGGCAAGCGUUAUCCGGAUUUACUGGGUGUAAAGGGAGCGUAGACGGCAUGGCAAGCCAGAUGUGAAAGCCCGGGGCUCAACCCCGGGACUGCAUUUGGAACUGUCAGGCUAGAGUGUCGGAGAGGAAAGCGGAAUUCCUAGUGUAGCGGUGAAAUGCGUAGAUAUUAGGAGGAACACCAGUGGCGAAGGCGGCUUUCUGGACGAUGACUGACGUUGAGGCUCGAAAGCGUGGGGAGCAAACAGGAUUAGAUACCCUGGUAGUCCACGCCGUAAACGAU